GCACGGGCGUGCUUAUAGCACUAGUACACAAGGCUUUUGUUGGUGCGAUGCAGUUUAUAUUGAUGGUGCGGUUCACUCAAACACCGCACCUUUACAUCUUGCUUUACAAAUUUCACCAACUUUAAAUCUUCCAUUUACAUUUUCCCCCCUUUUGUUGCCCUGUUCCCGCUUGUUUCCAUUUACGUUUUCCCUCCCUCAUGAAUUUCUCACCCUCACAAACCCUAAUCGAACCCCAACCCCCUCUAUUACAUCCAUCUGGUUCCCUUUAGCACCUCUCACUACUACCUUCCAGUGCACCAUCGUUGCCCUCUAUUGCACCGUCGUUUCCCUUUAGUUCAGCGCAUCUCUACUGUCCGUUGUGUCCAGUUGUCCACUAAGUUCAUAUGAGUUGAGUUGGAAAUGGUGAAGAUUCAUGUACUUGCAAAGGAUAAAAGUUGGAACUGUUGAAUGCGCUUCAGGAGCAAAGUUUUGAGAGGGUAAAUGUUAACAUAAGCAAAACCAAAUCCAUUAGUUAUUGAUUUGAUUAGAGUAUUCUGCCCUUCAAUUUGAGGUAAUUAUUGGUUUAAAAAUCAAGUCAGGUAUUUUUAAAUCGGGUUUUCUUUGUCUAACUGAGACCGAGAUCGGGGUUAUAUGAAACAUGGGACCGAAGAGCACCAAAUGCAAUCCUAUUCUGUUUGCGAGUCAAGUAAGGUCUAACAGGUAUAUGAAUUAAAUCCUGGUAAUGUCUCUUCAAUUAACCGGGUUUGCGAGUCAAGUAAGGUCUAACAGAGAUAAACAAACCUUAUGUCUUUAAUAACAACUUUUAGGAAAUCCUUUUUUUUUGCAGAAAUAUGAAGCACAAGGCGGGUCUGAGUUUUUCUUUGUCAUCAACAUACAGCCAUCACGAUUGAUUGGAACUAAAUCGUUUGGAUGUGUUUUUGUUGAAGAAAAGGACUUCAUGCAUGGCUUCAAGUUACGGGAAGAAGAUGUGAAACUUCCGCAAUACAAAAAUGACGAUUUAGUCUUAAAUUUAAUCCCGGAAUUGAUUUCAAGGCGUUUGAUGGCCCAGAAUGAAAUUGUGAAAAGCGUCUCAAGGUUCUUAAAGAAAAUCAGAGGAAUUUGGUGGUUUGAAGUGGUAGUGGAUGGGUUUCAUCAUAGAGCACGGGGACAUCUGAAGGUGGGUUCUGUUUUGUGACCUAUGUCACUGCAGCUUAAACACCCUGCUUCUGGGAUGUGGGUCGGACACAGGCAUGCCUUUGAGAUUUUCAAAACUGGUUUUUAAGUUUCAACUUUAUUUUAAGAAAACUAAUAUUUUAUUUGUUUGUAUCUAGGCACGGGCGUGCUCAUCUGGCAGUUUUUUGAAAAUUUUAACUUUGUCGAGUUUUGAAAGUUCGUUCCACCACUUAUUCGAUCUACAUGUCUAGGAAACUUACCUUUCAGAUUUCAACACAUGGAAACUUUUUGUAUGUGUUGAAGAAAAAACUGAUCAUUCUGAAGAUGACAAAGUCAACGGGUCUCUAAGAAGGAAGAUAUAAGACAAUAG